AUGAUGGUAACGGGAGAGAUUGCCCAAGUCAGCUGACAGGGCGGCGCCGAAGGAGUAAGCCUGAUGCAGGUGAAUCUCUCAGGCAAAAGGACCUUUACCGGACG
rnacentral:ncRNA from 1 species